rnacentral:rRNA from 1 species
GACGAACGCUGGCGGCGUGCUUAACACAUGCAAGUCGAACGGAAAGGCCCUGCUUUUGUGGGGUGCUCGAGUGGCGAACGGGUGAGUAACACGUGAGUAACCUGCCCUUGACUUUGGGAUAACUUCAGGAAACUGGGGCUAAUACCGGAUAGGAGCUCCUGCUGCAUGGUGGGGGUUGGAUAGUUUCGGCGGUUGGGGAUGGACUCGCGGCUUAUCAGCUUGUUGGUGGGGUAGUGGCUUACCAAGGCGUUGACGGGUAGCCGGCCUGAGAGGGUGACCGGCCACAUUGGGACUGAGAUACGGCCCAGACUCCUACGGGAGGCAGCAGUGGGGAAUAUUGCACAAUGGGCGGAAGCCUGAUGCAGCAACGCCGCGUGCGGGAUGACGGCCUUCGGGUUGUAAACCGCUUUCGCCUGUGACGAAGCGUGAGUGACGGUAAUGGGUAAAGAAGCACCGGCUAACUACGUG